CAUCAGUCAAUGUUAGACCUACUCUCCCAGAUUCCAUAUCCAUAUAUCCAUAUCCAUGUCCAGUGUUUUGGCAUUUUUAUUUUAUUAUAUUUUAUAUACUAAACCAAAAGCGGCAAACUACUCGACAACCACAAUAAAAUUCGCAUACGCAAAUGGAGGAGAUCACCAGCUCUGUGAUCGAAUAUUCUCUCAAGUCGUCUCGUCUUCAAAGAGAAGGAAGAUAAUCGAAGACGAUGAGAGGCGGAAUAUGCUCGAGAUCGCAGAGAUCGCUCGAAUCAGAAUAACAAAAACACAGAUCAGCAACUGAGAUUGGCCAGUUCGCAGAAUCGCAGCUGAUUUUCCGGUGGAAUUCCUGUGCUCAGUCGCUCGAAUUCAUAUACCGAACUUCCGGAAGAGGAGAUCUUCCAGGAGUCUCAAGCAUGUUCAUGUCUGCAUGCUCACACACUGCAUAUGCACAGAAAAUUAUCAGAUACUUUCGGAGUAUCAUGUGGAAUUGCUUACGAGGUACUUUUGAUAAAUGAGACACCGCCACACUAAGUGAGUCAUUUAUUGUCUCUCAACUACCCAACAAAGUAAUUGGGCUAUGGAAUUUGCUGGCAUUUCUUCAUAUCAGCCAUUUUGCUGGAUGGUGGUGGGACUGCAGAUGAUUAUGAUAGAAAAGUAGCUGUAUGAGGAGGUUGGUUGUUAAUUUAUUCUUCAGUGAAUCAGUGGGUUGAGUUAUUCCACAUAUUAAAGAUUUACUCCACGUAUCUGUCUUUUCUCUUAUUUUUGUAUACUUUUUUGGUUGGAAGGCAGGAAUUGAAGCAUGGUUGGACAGACGAAAUAAUCUCAUGAAGCCCUUGGUUGGGUCCUCUUGAGUUGUACAUAUAGUUUUUGAACCCACUCCCAAAUUGUGAUGACAAAUAUUUUACAGGAAAAAGUUGUAAGUUUGCUUCACUUCCUCUGCUUAAGAUUACAAAAGCUUAUUUUUAAUGAUUGAGGUACAAUUACAAAUUACUU